rnacentral:lncRNA from 1 species
UAAAAGGCUCAUUGAUUUGCAGUUCAUUACAAUAAGCACUGGAUAUAAAUACAAAACGAGGCUACUGAUAGGAACUGUGAUUAGUUCUUUCUCUACCCGGGGAUUGUAGUGAAACAAAGUUUGACACAUAAUAGGAACUAAAUUUGUUUACCUAAAUUGUGUUUCCGCAGCUCAGAAAGGCCUGUGCAGGGAAGUUGGCAACACAGAGAACAUCAAGCUCUCACAGAUGGCAGCCAGGAGUGAAGGGGGAGUCUUUGGCAGCCAGGCCGAGCAGACAGAAAGCACUUACCUAAUGCCUUGGUUUUAACAUUGUUUUAUCGGCAUGGGGUCAGUUGUUGGUCUCAAGAUGAAAUGUCCUUCAGCACCCGUCCGUCAGAGCAGCUCUUUUCAGAGGCAAGGCAGAGGAAGGACAGCUGUCAAAACUGAUUAGAGGCGCUGAGCAGUGAGAUACAGGAGAUCUCCUGUUUCAUGGAGUAGCUCUACCCUA